rnacentral:rRNA from 1 species
AACGAACGCUGGCGGCAUGCCUAACACAUGCAAGUCGAACGAGACCUUCGGGUCUAGUGGCGCACGGGUUCGUAACGCGUGGGAACCUGCCCUUAGGUUCGGAAUAACUCCCCGAAAGGGGUGCUAAUACCGGAUAAUGUCUUCGGACCAAAGAUUUAUCGCCUUUGGAUGGGCCCGCGUUGGAUUAGCUAGUUGGUAGGGUAAAAGCCUACCAAGGCGACGAUCCAUAGCUGGUCUGAGAGGAAGGUCAGCCACACUGGGACUGAGACACGGCCCAGACUCCUACGGGAGGGAGGAGUGGGGGAUAGUGGACAAUGGGCGGAAGGCUGAACCAGCAAGGACGGGUGAGUGAUGAAGGCCUUAGGGUUGUAAAGCUCUUUUACCCGGGAUGAUAAUGACAGUACCGGGAGAAUAAGCUCCGGCUAACUCCGUG